rnacentral:rRNA from 1 species
UACGGAGGAUCCAAGCGUUAUCCGGAUUUAUUGGGUUUAAAGGGUGCGUAGGCGGCUUAUUAAGUCAGGGGUGAAAGACGGUGGCUCAACCAUCGCAGUGCCUUUGAUACUGAUGAGCUUGAAUACACUUGAGGUAGGCGGAAUGUGACAAGUAGCGGUGAAAUGCAUAGAUAUGUCACAGAACACCAAUUGCGAAGGCAGCUUACUAAGGUGCAACUGACGCUGAGGCACGAAAGCGUGGGGAUCAAACAGG